UAAAAAAAAUCAUUUUACACAAAAGUAUAUUAUAUAAAUAUAAAAAUAUUAAUUAAAAAAUUAAAAAAAAUCAAAUUUCGACCGCAUGAGGUCAAAAUAAUUAAGUCAAAGUUGGUCAAAUCUGACUUAAUUUUUUCGACCAUAUGCGGUGGAAAAAGUUCAAUGAAAAGUACACCCACACAAAUAUUUCAUCUUCCCCCCAAAACUCUCCUCUUUCUUGAAAAAAAACACUUUACCCUCUAAACUCAUUUCCCCAAAAAUGCCGCCACCCCACCACCGUAUCUCUGUUGCAAAAUGAAUUUGCAACUCAAGAAAUCUGAUACAACAGUAAAGAGAACAAGAGAAAGCUAAAACUAGAAAGAGAAGAGAAAAAGAAUAAGAAGCACAAAGUAAUCUUUCUUAAAGCUGCUCAAAUCAAAAUUGCAACAAUCUCUGGCCACCCACUACCACCGGCAUUCUCCAAGUAGGCGACGCCCUCCAGUUAAAUCACCGGAGUAGCCACCAGCCGCCGCCGACUGAACAGUGAGCUAGAAGCAGCUGAAAUUCCAUAUUCAGAUCAUCAACCAGUUGUUGGAAUUCUCCCCCAAGGUUGUCAAUUGCCGGAGUUAAGGGAGAUUUGCUAGAUACAAGAAAGUAGCAGCACAGAUGGCGGGUGAUAAUAGGGGUAAGGCUAUUGCUAAAGCCUCGAAAAAGUCAAAGAAGAAGAAGGGUCCGUUUAUACCAUCAGAGGGCGUAGUGCCAGGAACCCUUAGGAUUCCUGGUAGAGAUCGAUCUCCUCCCCCAUAUAUCCUGGGGAUGCUCGUAGGUCACAGCCUACCCAUCCCCCCGACCUUCCCAUGGUAGAUGACGUAUGUCACAGGACAACGUAGUUCAUGGUCUUGUGGAUGAGGAUAGUGAGAAGGAUUCGGAUCAUGUCUCCAACACGCAACGUUGACUUUUUUGAUUCGUAUACUUUUGGAUUCUAAUUUUCCUAUGUUUUCUUGGAUAUGAAUAUGAUAUUUAAGUGUUUGAAUGUAGUUUUAAUUCGAAUUAGAAGUACUUUAAAGGUGAAUUUGAUUGUAGAAUGUAGUUUAUGGUUGUUUAAGUUUAUGAUGUUUAAGUGUUUCAAUCUAGUUGUAAUUUGAAUUAGAAGUAUUUUAAAUUGAAAUUUGAGGUUGAAUUUGAUUGUAGAAUGUUGUAGUUUAUGAGUGUAGAAGUACUUUGAUGAA